rnacentral:rRNA from 1 species
GAUGAACGCUGGCGGCGUGCUUAACACAUGCAAGUCGAACGGAAAGGCUCCUGCUUGCAGGGGUACUCGAGUGGCGAACGGGUGAGUAACACGUGUGUGAUCUGCCCUGCACUUCGGUAUAAGCCUGGGAAACUGGGUCUACUACCGUAUAGGACCACAUUUUGGAUGGUGUGGUGGAGAGUUUUUCGGUGUGGGCUGUGCUCGCGGCCUAUCAGCUUGUUGGUGGGGUACUGGCGUACCAAGGCGUAGACGGGGAGCCGGCCUAAGAGGUUGUAGGGACAGACUGGGACUCAGAUACAGGCCAGAGUCCGGAGGGAGGGAGAAGUGGGGAAUGUUGGAUAAAGGGAGAAAGCCUGAGGGAGGGAGGCCGCGGGGGGGAUGAGGGCCUUUGGGUGGUAAGAACAGUUGGCGAGGGACGAAGCGUUUUUGUGACGGUACCUAGAGAAGAAGCACCGGCUAACUACGUG